GUUUCCCCCUGAGGGAAGUAUACCUGUCCUGCCAGCCUUGGUCUCUGGCAGGGAAGGUCCUUCCAACAGAGAGGGAAUUGCUUAGAAUUGACUCAACACUGCCUCCUUGCUGAAUGGAUAAUUCAAGCAAACAACUCAAGAGCUGGAUGCUGCCCAGACAGAAGUCCUCCUAGCAUCUUUCUUCUGCCUUCCCCUGCUCCUGUCCCUGAAACCUUUUCUUCAAAAGAAGUGGAAAAGAGGAACUGGGAACCCAUAUAGCAACAGCAUCACCUGGAAUGAAUUCCUUUAGAACAUACUGUCUUGGAAAUCUGAAGCCUGCAGGGCUGGACAGGCAAGAAGAGCAGUGAGCACUGCAUGAACCUGCAUGUACUCCGAAAUAUUUUUCAAAUGGAAAAGAAAACAGAGAACACAAUUUUCAAAAUAUCUAGAGCCCUCCAAGAAGUCUUUGUAGAGAUCUAUAAAAUCUCAAGGCAAUUUAAAGAAUAGAAAAAUGUUUUAGAAACACUAUUCUCUCCACAUCCUGGGGCAGCAGCCUUCUCCAAAGAAACAGAAAGAAGGAAAUGGAUUGCCUUAGCAAAAAAACAAAUGAAGACACUCCAAAUAACAGAAGAAUGGGAAGGCUACAGACCUUGAAGUCAGAAGAAAAUUUCCUCUCCUUGCCCCGUUUCUCCUUAAAUGGAUCACCAGUACAGUCUCUUACUUCUAGAGCCAUGUUAAGCUUUCUUCCCCAAAGUUGUAAUGUCCUUCUUUUGGUUGUGUCGUGUCCUAAAAUCCUACUCUUUGGUACAAGAUGAAGGUAUAUGAAGAGAUAAUGAAGGAAACAAAUUCAAUGUGUUUGCCAAGAACACAGUCUUUUAAAUAACUCUUAAAGGGUUCGUUUAAAACAGUGUAAUAAAUUGUGGUAAUCUAGUACACAAAGCUAGUAGGAACCUCGUUUAUUAAUAAUAUUUCAACAUUGAGCAGUAGAGGGCAGCACUAUCCUUCUUUUGCAAAAUGUUGAGCACUCUUGAGAAGGAAAAUAAAGGCAAAGCUCCUGACCCCUGUGUCUGUGUUUACUUUUACCAUUAAAAAAAAACAAAAAAUUGGAGUAUUUUUAUUAUGGUUUAGGUGAUUAUGUAUAAAGAAUGUCAGAGCCUGCAUUACCUGGAAGUGGUGCACCAGGUAAUGCAAAAAACACGGAAGGUUUGAGGUCCCCCACUCAGGAUAUGGGUUCUGUCUAGUAAAGAUAAACAGUAGCUUGACCCUGGGUAAUCAGAUAGGGUUAUUGUAUGAACAGACCUAAUGCUCCUGCACGUUCUGGAUAGAAGUCAAUCUACUGAAAUAGCAGGAUGUAGUUUUAAAAAAUGUGUGUAACUCAUAUAGUCUUAGCCCUGAUAAGUGCUUCUAAAUUCUUAUUCACUGCCUUUAUUCUGCUGUGUUAGUGUUGCUCUCUGUCAUACGUGGGUCAGGUCAGAACUAGCUCAAAUACAGUAUGUGUAUUAUGACUUUAAGGAGUGGUGUCAGACAAGAUGGGUAAAGAAUGUCUUUCAUGGGACUGCAGUUGGCUAAAUGGCUGUGUAUAAGUAGUGAAAUUGAAGCCUUGUAUGCUCGUCGUCAUUCUAUCACAGUAUGAUUUGAGUUUCCCUAACCGGUAAACAGCAAGAAAAAAUGAUCUGUUAUUUUUUACUAAAGUUACUUGAUGCUCUUUAGCAAGCUGACAGAAUAAUUCUAAUUUUAGCAAAUACAAAACCAUGGUAAUCCUAGCACAUUUGGAUUCUGUUUAACCCUGAAAACUCUUUUGGCAGCAAAUCUUCAAUGCCAAUUUAGAUAAAUCCCACUAGGAAUAAGCACUGAAAGACGUUGAGUCUAGUUCCCAGCUCUGCCAUGUGAAGUUGGGCAAAUUACAGUCUCUGAGCUUUUAUUUCAUCUGUUAAAUGGAGAUAAUACCUCCUAGAUUUAUUAAAAGGGUCAAUUUAGAAAAUAUGUAUUAAAAUGGUUUGAAAGCCAUUUAAGUACCUAAUGAAUAUUUCUAUCACUGUAGCCCAAAAAGAUUCCUGCCUAGAAGACUUUAUGUCUCUUCUCCUCAUUUGGUAUCAUUCUAUUGCCUGAGAUUGUUAAUUAACUUUUAUGUAUACUCAAUAUUUUCUCCCAACUUGGUUGCUAGUUCCUUGAGAACUGAAACCAUCAAUUGCACUUCUUGGUAUCCUCCACAAUAAGGUAUCUAGGUACUCAAAUAUUUGUUGGUUGAUUAAAAACAUAAACCACAAGACAUAAUUAACUCUUUUUAAAAUUGUGGUAAAAAAACAUGUAUUUACCAUCUUAAUCAUUUUUAAGUAUACUGUAUAUUAGUGUUUACUAUAUGCACAUUGUUGUGCAACACAUCUCUAGGACUUUUUCAUCCAGAAUUCUUUUUUUUUGAGACAGAGUCUUGCUGUGUCGCCCAAGCUGGAGUUCAGUGGCACCAUCCUGGCUCACUGCAACUGCUGCCUCCCAGGUUCAAGUGAUUCUCCUGCCUCAGCCUCCCGAGUAGCUGGGAUUACAUGUGCCUGCCACCACGCCUGGCAAGUUUUUGUAUUUUUAGUAGAAAUGGUGUUUUACCAUGUUGGCCAAGACUGGCCUAGAACUCCAGACCUCAAGUGAUCCACCCGCCUCAGCAGCCCAAAGUGGUGGGAUUACAGGCAUGAGCAACUGUGCCUGGCCUAGCCAUUUUCUAUAAACCUGAAAAUAGAUGCCAGAAAAGAAGGUGCCGCUAUAAAAUGCUUUCUUGAGUGAUUUAUGUCUAACAUACAAUUAAACAUUUAUGAGAAGGAAAUUAUCAGGUUAAAAUAUAAACUCACUUGCCAAUUAUUUGAUUUUCAGGAUAUCUGACUUUUGUUAAUUACUGAAAAUAAAGUAUUAUUUCUAAUCACUA
rnacentral:lncRNA from 1 species